rnacentral:rRNA from 1 species
GUGUUACAAGUGUCACACGGAACUGCCGGUCAUAAACCGGAGGAAGGUUGGGAUGACGUCAAGUCAGCAUGGCCUUUAUAUCCUGGGCUACACGACACGCUACAAUGGGAAGGGAACAAUAGGUUGCGAAGCCGCGAGGCGGAGGCCAAUCCAGCAAAACUUCCCUCAGUUCAGAUUGCAGGCUGCAACCCGCCUGCAUGAAGUUGGAGUUGCUAGUAAACGCAGGUCAGCCAUACUGCGUUGAAUACGUUCCCGGGGCUU